rnacentral:tmRNA from 1 species
GGGGGCGAACUGGACUCGACCGGACAGGUUGAGGUGCCAGUGGCGUGCCGUGGUUGAUCGGUGGCCCACGUUAAAAGCCGAUCAAACAAUAAGUGCCAACCACAGCUUGGCUCUGGCUGCCUAAUCGCAAACGGCAGUCCCGACUGAGGGCUCUCGUCGGAGGGGCCUGAAAGUCGGCCGACCCUAUCCGACUCGUCCCGGGUCACGCCGAGUACGCCCGGGAUCAGAACCUGUCCUCGGCUGGCCGCUGGAGAUCCUGUCGGUCGGAAGUUCCGGCGGCGAGAUUGCAAAGACCGACUACGCACGUAGAAGCUGGUGCCGAAAUGUCACGGGACGCGGGUUCGAUUCCCGCCGCCUCCAUCC